rnacentral:rRNA from 1 species
GACGAACGCUGGCGGCGUGCUUAACACAUGCAAGUCGAACGGAAAGGCCUGCUUUCCCUUGUGGAUUGCGGGUACUCGAGUGGCGAACGGGUGAGUAACACGUGAGUGAUCUGCCCCCAACUUGGGUAUAAGCCUGGGAAACUGGGUCUAAUUCCCGAUAGGACUGCAGGGUGGUGCCUGUGGUGGAAAACGAUUUUCUAGUGGUUGGGGAUGAGCUCGCGGCCUAUCAGCUUGUUGGUGGGGUAAUGGCCUACCAAUGCGGCGACGGGUAGCCGGCCUGAGAGGGUGGACGGCCACAUUGGGACUGAGAUACGGCCCAGACUCCUACGGGAGGCAGCAGUGGGGAAUAUUGCACAAUGGGCGGAAGCCUGAUGCAGCGACGCCGCGUGGGGGAUGACGGCCUUCGGGUGGUAAACUCCUUUCGACCGCGAGGAAGCCACCUGGUUGGAAGGGUGGUGACGGUAGUGGUAGAAGAAGCACCGGCUAACUACGUG